CUUAUUUUGAUCUAGUACUCUGUGAAAAAUUGGGAAUUACCAUUUCCUAGGCUCUAUCUCAUACCUUUUCUGACCAUGAAGGCUUCAGUCACAUUUUCCUCACUUCUCCCUUGAGAAUCCUCCUAACUUUUGUACCUCUUCACCAAUAACAUCUGUACACUGAGAAAACACAACUGCAAUUUUGACAGGGGUGUUCAGGAACUUUGAGAUUGGGAUUGGUUGCUUCCUCUUAUCCAGUUUAUCUCCUUCCUCAAGUUACUAUUUCUCACUUGACUUCAGAGCCAAGCUGUGUUACACCUGCUGCGUUCACCCACAGAGACACUGUCUAUGUGCUGCAGACUCAUUCAUCUCGAUUCUUCUUGAGCUGUCGAAAAUGGCAUCACUUUCUGAGGUGUAGGUUUUACCUGCAACAAUAUAGAGCCAAAUGUACAUGAAGAUUGUUUUGCAAGACGUAUGGGAUCCUUACAUUUUCAUUAAAGGUAUGGGAAACAUCUGAGGAUUACACUUCAUUUCUCGAAGAGGAGCAU
ensembl:lncRNA